rnacentral:rRNA from 1 species
UACGUAGGGCGCAAGCGUUGUCCGGAAUUAUUGGGCGUAAAGAGCUCGUAGGCGGCUUGUUGCGUCGGUUGUGAAAGCCCGGGGCUUAACCCCGGGUCUGCAGUCGAUACGGGCAGGCUUAGAGUGUGGUGAGGGGAGAUCGUCGAAUUCCUGGUGUAGGCGGUAGAAAUGCGCAGAUAUCAGGAGGGAACACCCGGUGGGCGAAAGGGC